UACGUAGGGUGCAGGCGUUAAUCGGAAUUACUGGGCGUAAAGCGUGCGCAGGCGGUCUUUUAAGUCAGAUGUGAAAUCCCCGGGCUUAACCUGGGAACUGCGUUUGAAACUGGAAGGCUUGAGUGUGGCAUAGGGGGGUGGAAUUCCACGUGUAGCAGUGAAAUGCGUAGAGAUGUGGAGGAACACCGAUGGCGAAGGCAGCCCCCUGGGCUAACACUGACGCUCAUGCACGAAAGCGUGGGGAGCAAACAGG
rnacentral:rRNA from 1 species